GACGAACGCUGGCGGCGUGCUUAACACAUGCAAGUCGAACGGAAAGGCCCUGCUUGCCGGGUACUCGAGUGGCGAACGGGUGAGUAACACGUGGGUGAUCUGCCCUGCACUUCGGGAUAAGCCUGGGAAACUGGGUCUAAUACCGGAUAGGAGCCAUUUUUAGUGUGAUGGUUGGAAAGUUUUUUCGGUGUAGGAUGAGCUCGCGGCCUAUCAGCUUGUUGGUGGGGUAAUGGCCUACCAAGGCGGCGACGGGUAGCCGGCCUGAGAGGGUGGACGGCCACAUUGGGACUGGGAUACGGCCCAGACUCCUACGGGAGGCAGCAGUGGGGAAGAUUGCACAAUGGGCGCAAGCCUGAUGCAGCGACGCCGCGGGGGGGAUGACGGCCUUCGGGUUGUAAACUCCUUUCGCUAGGGACGAAGCUUUUUGUGACGGUACCUAGAUAAGAAGCACCGGCUAACUACGUG
rnacentral:rRNA from 1 species